rfam:Schistosoma curassoni strain Dakar, Senegal genome assembly, scaffold: SCTD_contig0005828
GCACUGCUGAGGAGCUUCACAAUAGGACGAAACGGCCGUCCAGUGC